rnacentral:rRNA from 1 species
AUUGAACGCUGGCGGCAUGCCUAACACAUGCAAGUCGAACGAGUGGCGGACGGGUGAGUAAUGUCUGGGAAACUGCCUGAUGGAGGGGGAUAACUACUGGAAACGGUAGCUAAUACCGCAUACCAUCAGAUGUGCCCAGAUGGGAUUAGCUUGUUGGUGGGGUAACGGCUCACCAAGGCGACGAUCCCUAGCUGGUCUGAGAGGAUGACCAGGGACACUGGAAAUGAGACACGGUCCAGACGCCUACGGGAGGCACCAGUGGGGAAUAUUGGACAAUGGGCGCAAGCCUGAUGAAGCCAUGCCGGGGGUGUGGAGAAGGCCUUGGGGUUGUAAAGGACGUUCAGCGGGGAGGCGGUACCCGCAGAAGAAGCACCGGCUAACUCCGUGCCAGCAGCCGCGGUAAUUC